AGUGAACGCUGGCGGUAGGCCUAACACAUGCAAGUCGAACGGCAGCACAGUAAGAGCUUGCUCUUACGGGUGGCGAGUGGCGGACGGGUGAGGAAUACAUCGGAAUCUACUUUUUCGUGGGGGAUAACGUAGGGAAACUUACGCUAAUACCGCAUACGACCUACGGGUGAAAGCAGGGGAUCUUCCGCCCUUGCGCGAUUGAAUGAGCCGAUGUCGGAUUAGCUAGUUGGCGGGGUAAAGGCCCACCAAGGCGAAGAUCCGUAGCUGGUCUGAGGGGUUGAUCGGCCACACGGAAAUUGAGACAGGGUCCGGGCUCCAAGGGAGGGCAGAGGGGGGAAUAAUGGAACAAGGGGCGAAACCCUGUCCCAGCCAUACCGCGUGGGUGAAGAGGGCCUUGGGUUGUAAAGCCCUUUUGUUGGGAAAGAAAAGCAGCAGGUUAAUACCCCGCUGUUCUGACGGUACCCAAAGAAUAAGCACCGGCUAACUUCGUG
rnacentral:rRNA from 1 species